CACAUGCCAGUCGCACGGGCAUCUUCGGGUGUCAGUGGCGGACGGGUGAGUAACGCGUACGUAUCUGUCCUUGGGUGGGGGAUAUCUGUGGGAAACUGCAGCUAAUACCGCAUGACACCUGUGGGUCAAAGGCGCGAGUCGCCUGGGGAGGAGCCUGCGUUCGAUUAGCUAGUUGGUGGGGUAAAGGCCUACCAAGGCGACGAUCGAUAGCUGGUCUGAGAGGAUGAUCAGCCACACUGGGACUGAGACACGGCCCAGACUCCUACGGGAGGCAGCAGUGGGGAAUAUUGGACAAUGGGGGCAACCCUGAUC
rnacentral:rRNA from 1 species